rnacentral:rRNA from 1 species
UAGUCCACGCUGUAAACGAUGAGCACUAGAUGUCGCGGGAGUUGACCCCUGCGGUGUCGUAGCUAACGCAUUAAGUGCUCCGCCUGGGGAGUACGGCCGCAAGGCUGAAACUCAAAGGAAUUGACGGGGGCCCGCACAAGCGGUGGAACAUGUGGUUUAAUUCGACGCAACGCGCAGAACCUUACCCGGAUUUGACAUCCCAAGAACCUGUUAGAGAUAGCAGGGUGCCCUUCGGGGAACUUGGAGACAGGUGCUGCAUGGCUGUCGUCAGCUCGUGUCGUGAGAUGUUGGGUUAAGUCCCGCAACGAGCGCAACCCUUAUCCUUAGUUGCCAGCACAUAAUGGUGGGAACUCUAGGGANACUGCCGGUGACAAACCGGAGGAAGGUGGGGGAUGACGUCAAGUCAUCAUGGCCCUUACGGGGUAGGGGCUACACACGUGCUACAAUGGGUCGGUACAGA